rnacentral:rRNA from 1 species
CGUUCGGGUUCAAGUUCCUUGGAAUAGGACAUCAGGGAGGGUGAGAAUCCCGUCUGUGAUCCGAUCGGUUGCGGUACGAUAUCGUUUCUAAGAGUCGAGUUGUUUGGGAUUGCAGCUCAAAAUGGGUGGUAAAUUCCAUCUAAGGCUAAAUAUUGGCGAGAGACCGAUAGCGAACAAGUACCGUGAGAGAAAGAUGAAAAGAACUUUGAAAAGAGAGUUAAACAGUACGUGAAAUUGUUGAUAGGGAAACGAUUGAAGUCAGUCAUGCCGGUGAGAAAUCAGCUUACAGGCUACUGUGAGUGCACUUUUUCGCAAGGCAGGUUAACAUCGGUUUCUGUUGCGUCAUAAUGAUUGUAGGAAGGUGGCUCCUUCGGGAGUGUUAUAGCCUACUUUAGAUGGCGUGACGGGGACUGAGGAUUGCAGCGGAUGCUUUGCUACGGAUCUUGUCUCUGUCGACCUUCAAUUAGUUUUCAGCUUGCUGAGCUCUGGUUGAUAGGUUUACAAUAGGUUUGAUUUUCGUUAAAUUCGCUAAGGAUGUUGACGUAAUGGCUUUAAACGACCCGUCUUGAAACACGGACCAAGGAGUCUAACAUACGUGCGAGUGUUUGGGUGACAAACCCAUUCGCGUAAUGAAAGUGAAUUUGGUGGGAGCCUUUUGGUGCACCAUCAACC